rnacentral:rRNA from 1 species
GAUGAACGCUGACAGAAUGCUUAACACAUGCAAGUCAACUUGAACUUCGGUUUGGGUGGCGGACGGGUGAGUAACGCGUAAAGAACUUGCCUCACAGAUAGGGACAACAUUUGGAAACGAAUGCUAAUACCUGAUAUUAUGAUUUUGGGGCAUCCUAGGAUUAUGAAAGCUAUAUGCGCUGUGAGAGAGCUUUGCGUCCCAUUAGCUAGUUGGAGAGGUAACGGCUCACCAAGGCGAUGAUGGGUAGCCGGCCUGAGAGGGUGAUCGGCCACAAGGGGACUGAGACACGGCCCUUACUCCUACGGGAGGCAGCAGUGGGGAAUAUUGGACAAUGGACCAAGAGUCUGAUCCAGCAAUUCUGUGUGCACGAUGAAGUUUUUCGGAAUGUAAAGUGCUUUCAGUUGGGAAGAAAAAAAUGACGGUACCAACAGAAGAAGUGACGGCUAAAUACGUGCCAGCAGCCGCGGUAAUACGUAUGUCACAAGCGUUAUCCGGAUUUAUUGGGCGUAAAGCGCGUCUAGGUGGUUAUAUAAGUCUGAUGUGAAAAUGCAGGGCUCAACUCUGUAUUGCGUUGGAAACUGUGUAACUAGAGUACUGGAGAGGUAAGCGGAACUACAAGUGUAGAGGUGAAAUUCGUAGAUAUUUGUAGGAAUGCCGAUGGGGAAGCCAGCUUACUGGACAGAUACUGACGCUGAAGCGCGAAAGCGUGGGUAGCAAACAGG